CAAACUGUUAUUUGAUUCCAACUUGUGGCUUCUCUCACAUGCUCACCUUCCUUUUUUUGCUAACAGAAAUAAGUUUCAGUUUUGUAUUCAGCUAAACUAAGAGGAUGUGGUUCCUGAGGAUAACAGUUCAAGCUACAGUUUGGUGUCAAAUAUUUACAAUUCUGCCUCUGCUCAGUUCAGCUUGCUCAAGUUUUUUUCAGCCAUUCACAGUAAGAGUAAUAUAACAAAUAACUAUCAUUUAAGGAAUCCUCUAUGCAUUUCAAAGUACAGUCAAAUCCAUUUUCAUUUGAUCCUCACAGAUUCCUACAGUGUACAUGUUAUCCUCCUCUUGACAGAUGAGAAAGCUGAGGACCAAAACAGACAAGUAAUUGUCAAAGAUGAUACAGAGAGAAAGAGUGGUAGCAGCUGGAAUCAGAAUCCAGGUUUCUAAUUCAGAUCUUCAAGGAAGAAGCUUGAUAACUCCUAAAUCCGGAGAAUAUCCAGAGAAUGAACUGUUGCAGAAAGAUGCCAGAAAACCCACACUACAUCAAGAAGAUCAAGAAUGAACUUUGGGUAAACAUGAGAGGAAGAAAAGUGGCAGAAAAUGAAGGAAAUCCUUCUGACUCAGGAGAGGAGAGUCAGCCCCUGCAAGAGCCCAGGUUGAGCUUAAUCCUGGUGGGAAAAACAGGAACUAGGAAAAGUGCAACUGGAAACAGAAUCCUUGGAAAGAAUGUCUUUGUGUCCAAGCUUGGGGGAAUGCCAAUGACCAGGUUCUGCCACAAAGAAGAGCCAGAGCUUGGGUAGAGAAAUAAUUGAAAUCAUUGAUACUGCUAAUAUUUUCAGCCCAGAGUGUGUUUACUGAAGGUCUAAAUCUUUAAGAAAUCACUCAAUGUUAUUGCCUCUCCUCCCCUGGGUCCCAUGUGCCCCCUGGCCACUGUUCCUUGUGAUCCAGCUGGGUUGAUACACUAAGGAGGACCAGGAUGCCAUGAAGAGAGUGAAGGAGAUCUUUGGGAAUAAUGUCAUGAAGCACACGAUCAUCAUCUUCACCUGCAAGGAAGAUCUUGGCAGUGGCUCCCUGUAGGAUUACAUCCAGUUCACAGAAAGCAAGGCCCUGAAAGAGCUGGUUGCACAAUGUGGAGUUAGGGUCUGUGUCUUUAACAACCCAGCCACAGGGAAGGAGCAGAAAGAGCAAAUGAAGGAGCUGAUGGGCAUGGUAACGAGGGUGAUACAGAAGAAUAGGGGCAUGCACUACACCAAUGAGGUGUACAGCUUAGAGGGAGAGCUCCAGUGGGCCAGCCAGGAGGUCAGGCUCAGAAAAAUUGGGGAGAAACUGGCUGAGUACAUGGAGCAGAAUAAGAGGUCUCAGGCAUCAUGGGAAAGAAUCUUCCUGAGACUCAGGUCUGUGUGAAUUAAGAAAAGACUUCCCAAAACUAUUGGGAUUCAGCUUUGCCAUCCUUAGUAUCUUCCUCCUAUGGCCACGCAUGACCAGCAGUAUUUAGAAUGACAGCUUUGUGCAUGACCAGUCUUAAAUAGCUGCUGGUUUCUACCAUCUUUAUUAGUCACCAUGGGAAAUUGAUCAUGAACAAAGCCAUCUGAACUUGAUAGCCCUAUCUCCCUCUGUAGGACUUUCUUUUUUAAAACCUUGCCUUCCAUUCUAGAAUCAGUACUGUAUAUUGGUUUCAAAACAAAAGAGUAGUAAGGGUUAGACAAUAGAGGUUAAGUGACUUGCUCAGGAUCACACAUCUAGGAAAGUGUCUGAUGUCAUAUUUUCACCCAGGACCUCUCAUCUCCAGGCCUGACUCUCCAUCUAGCUGCCUACAGUCUCAUUCAAAACUCAAUGAAAUGUUUUAAAGGAAAAAUUUAAUUAUUUUAGCACAUCACUUCCUUUAAUAAAGUUUGGUGUUUUCUUAUUUUUAAAUAAAAA
rnacentral:lncRNA from 1 species